ensembl:lncRNA
UGAUAGAGAUGAUGGAUGUGAUGGAGAUGAUAAAGAUGAUAAAGGUAAUAAAGAUGAUGCAGAGGGUUGAGAUGGUGGAGAUGAUAAAGGUGAUGGAGGUGAUGGAGAUGAUAGAGAUAAUGGAGAUGAUAGAGGUGAUGGAGGUGAUGGAGAUGAUAGAGAUAAUAAAGAUGAUGCAGAUGGUUAAGAUGGUGGAGAUGAUGGAGAUGAUAGAGGUGAUGGAGGUGAUGGAGAUGAUAGAGAUAAUAAAGAUGAUGGAGAUGAUAGAUAGUAGAAAGAUGAUGCAGAUGGUUAAGAUGGUGGAGAUGAUGGGGAUGAUAAACAUGGGUGGAGAUGAUGGAGAUCAGCUCUAUGAUGUUAGACCUGUAACAGAAUUUCUUCCAUAUUGUUCUUUCAGAAGCAAGGCCUGAAAGAGACGAAUCGAUGGAGAAGAUGAUAUUACAUUAAGGGUCGUACCCUCUGAGCACGUCUUAGGAAUGUUACACAUAAACACCCAUAAUGCCGUGUUUUAUGGUCUUCACUGGGUUAGGAGUUUGAUCUAGUUGAGGUUACAGCAUCUGAC